rnacentral:rRNA from 1 species
GGGCAGCAAUGUCAGUGGCGGACGGGUGAGUAUCGCGUAGGAACGUAUCCUGAGGUGGGGGACAACCCUGGGAAACUGGGGCUAAUACCGCAUAUGGACUGAGGUCCAAAGCCGUAAGGCGCCAUGGGAGCGGCCUGCGUCCGAUUAGGUAGUUGGUGGGGUAAAGGCCUACCAAGCCUGCGAUCGGUAGCUGGUCUGAGAGGACGAUCAGCCACACUGGGACUGAGACACGGCCCAGACUCCUACGGGAGGCAGCAGUGGGGAAUAUUGGACAAUGGGCGCAAGCCUGAUCCAGCAAUGCCGCGUGGGUGAAGAAGGUCUUCGGAUUGUAAAGCCCUUUCGACAGGGACGAUGAUGACGGUACCUGUAGAAGAAGCCCCGGCUAACUUCGUGCCAGCAGCCGCGGUAAUACGAAGGGGGCUAGCGUUGCUCGGAAUUACUGGGCGUAAAGGGCGCGUAGGCGGCACUGUUAGUCAGGCGUGAAAUUCCUGGGCUCAACCUGGGGACUGCGCUAGAUACGGCAGAGCUUGAGGAUGGAAGAGGGUCGCGGAAUUCCCAGUGUAGAGGUGAAAUUCGUAGAUAUUGGGAAGAACACCGGUGGCGAAGGCGGCGACCUGGUCCAUUACUGACGCUGAGGCGCGACAGCGUGGGAGCAAACAGGAUU